rnacentral:rRNA from 1 species
UACAGAGGUCCCGAGCGUUGUUCGGAUUCAUUGGGCGUAAAGGGUGCGUAGGCGGUCUGCUAAGUUUGGUGUGAAAUCCCGGGGCUCAACCCUGGAAUUGCAUUGAAUACUGGUGGACUAGAGUACUGGAGAGGAAACUGGAAUUUACGGUGUAGCAGUGAAAUGCGUAGAGAUCGUAAGGAAGACCAGUGGCGAAGGCGAGUUUCUGGACAGUAACUGACGCUGAGGCGCGAAAGCGUGGGGAGCAAACAGG